rnacentral:rRNA from 1 species
AAUAGAUACCCGGGUAGUCCACGCCGUAAACGAUGAGUGCUAAGUGUUAGAGGGUUUCCGCCCUUUAGUGCUGCAGCUAACGCAUUAAGCACUCCGCCUGGGGAGUACGGCCGCAAGACUGAAACUCAAAGGAAUUGACGGGGGCCCGCACAAGCGGUGGAGCAUGUGGUUUAAUUCGAAGCAACGCGAAGAACCUUACCAGGUCUUGACAUCCUCUGCCAACCCUAGAGAUAGGGCGUUCCCCUUCGGGGGACAGAGUGACAGGUGGUGCAUGGUUGUCGUCAGCUCGUGUCGUGAGAUGUUGGGUUAAGUCCCGCAACGAGCGCAACCCUUGAUCUUAGUUGCCAGCAUUCAGUUGGGCACUCUAAGGUGACUGCCGGUGACAAACCGGAGGAAGGUGGGGAUGACGUCAAAUCAUCAUGCCCCUUAUGACCUGGGCUACACACGUGCUACAAUGGAUGGUACAAAGAGCUGCGAACCCGCGAGGGUAAGCCAAUCUCAUAAAGCCAUUCUCAGUUCGGAUUGUAGG